rnacentral:rRNA from 1 species
CCUACGGGAGGCAGCAGUGGGGAAUUUUGGACAAUGGGCGAAAGCCUGAUCCAGCAAUGCCGCGUGAGUGAAGAAGGCCUUCGGGUUGUAAAGCUCUUUUGUCAGGGAAGAAACGGUGAGGGCUAAUAUCCCUUGCUAAUGACGGUACCUGAAGAAUAAGCACCGGCUAACUACGUGCCAGCAGCCGCGGUAAUACGUAGGGUGCAAGCGUUAAUCGGAAUUACUGGGCGUAAAGCGUGCGCAGGCGGUUUUGUAAGUCUGUCGUGAAAUCCCCGGGCUCAACCUGGGAAUUGCGAUGGAGACUGCAAGGCUAGAAUCUGGCAGAGGGGGGUAGAAUUCCACGUGUAGCAGUGAAAUGCGUAGAGAUGUGGAGGAACACCGAUGGCGAAGGCAGCCCCCUGGGUCAAGAUUGACGCUCAUGCACGAAAGCGUGGGGAGCAAACAGGAUUAGAUACCCUGGUAGUCCACGCCCUAAACGAUGUCUACUAGUUGUCGGGUUUUAAUUAACUUGGUAACGCAGCUAACGCGUGAGUAGACCGCCUGGGGAGUACGGUCGCAAGNUUAAACGUUNAAAGGAAUUGACGG